UACGGAGGGUGCGAGCGUUGUCCGGAAUCACUGGGCGUAAAGGGCGCGUAGGCGGCCUGAUAAGUAGGGGGUGAAAUCCUGCGGCUUAACCGCAGGGCUGCCUUCUAAACUGUCAGGCUAGAGCACAGUAGAGGCAGGUGGAAUUCCCGGUGUAGCGGUGGAAUGCGUAGAGAUCGGGAAGAACAUCAGGGGCGAAGGCGGCCUGCUGGGCUGUUGCUGACGCUGAGGCGCGACAGCGUAGGGAGCAAACAGG
rnacentral:rRNA from 1 species